CCCUGGCUGCCAGCGGGGCCGCCUCGGUGUCGAUGCCUGCGUUAUUUUGCCCGCUCCGCCCCCGCCGGAGAAACCUCAUCCUACUUAUAGUGGCGACCGCAAGCGCCGAGCAGUCAUGAGUCAGCCGUGCCCAGCAUCGCACGGGGAGGCAGCCAUGCUUCUGCUUCUACCAGCCUUCCCAGGAUCUCUUCAACUGCUGCUUCAGCUACGGCAAACAACAGAACAAAUCCCAAAUCAGAGCCCUUGUUCAGCAAAGAUCUACACACAGAAGAAACAGCCUGCCAAAUACAGAGACCAGGUUCUGAAGUGGCAGGAUGACACAGCAGAAGAAAAAUCACAGCCAGGAAGGUGUGCAUUGUCCCAGUAG
rnacentral:lncRNA from 1 species